rnacentral:rRNA from 1 species
GACGAACGCUGGCGGCGUGCCUAAUACAUGCAAGUAGAACGCUGAAGGAGGAGCUUGCUUCUCCGGAUGAGUUGCGAACGGGUGAGUAACGCGUAGGUAACCUGCCUGGUAGCGGGGGAUAACUAUUGGAAACGAUAGCUAAUACCGCAUAACAGUAGAUAUUGCAUGAUAUCUGCUUGAAAGGUGCAAUUGCAUCACUACCAGAUGGACCUGCGUUGUAUUAGCUAGUUGGUGGGGUAACGGCUCACCAAGGCGACGAUACAUAGCCGACCUGAGAGGGGGAUCGGCCACACUGGGACUGAGACACGGCCCAGACUCCUACGGGAGGCAGCAGUAGGGAAUCUUCGGCAAUGGACGGAAGUCUGACCGAGCAACGCCGCGUGAGUGAAGAAGGUUUUCGGAUCGUAAAGCUCUGUUGUAAGAGAAGAACGAGUGUGAGAGUGGAAAGUUCACACUGUGACGGUAUCUUACCAGAAAGGGACGGCUAACUACGUG